rnacentral:rRNA from 1 species
GACAAUGGGGGGAACCCUGAUCCAGCCAUGCCGCGUGUGUGAAGAAGGCCUUUUGGUUGUAAAGCACUUUAAGCGAGGAGGAGGCUACUCUAGUUAAUACCUAGAGAUAGUGGACGUUACUCGCAGAAUAAGCACCGGCUAACUCUGUGCCAGCAGCCGCGGUAAUACAGAGGGUGCGAGCGUUAAUCGGAUUUACUGGGCGUAAAGCGUGCGUAGGCGGCUUUUUAAGUCGGAUGUGAAAUCCCUGAGCUUAACUUAGGAAUUGCAUUCGAUACUGGGAAGCUAGAGUAUGGGAGAGGAUGGUAGAAUUCCAGGUGUAGCGGUGAAAUGCGUAGAGAUCUGGAGGAAUACCGAUGGCGAAGGCAGCCAUCUGGCCUAAUACUGACGCUGAGGUACGAAAGCAUGGGGAGCAAACAGGAUUAGAUACCCUGGUAGUCCAUGCCGUAAACGAUGUCUACUAGCCGUUGGGGCCUUUGAGGCUUUAGUGGCGCAGCUAACGCGAUAAGUAGACCGCCUGGGGAGU